CACCAGGCUUCAUACACCAGCUGAUAUGAGGCCCUCAACACACAUACAGCAGAGGACUUCCAGGAAUUUUGUCUUUCCCGCUUGCAUGCUGGUGCCUAUGGAGGCUGAGAGAGAGCAUUGAAUUUUCUGGAACUGGGGUUAAGGACAAAUUUUGAGCUGCCUUAUGUGUGGUGGGAAUUGAAACUGAAACCUUUAGAAGAACAGCCUCUGCUCUUAACUGCUGAGCCAUCUCUGCAGGUCCCAGAGUAACUUCUCUUGAUGAGAAAAAAAAAAAAAAGGUGUGCCAAUGUAUUGAAAAUAAUCUUUAGCUUUAGAUUGCCCUAUUGAACAAGAAAACUUAAAACGCCCCUAAACCACCUAUUAAACUACUGCCAGAACAGUUAAAAUGUACUUCUUUUCCAUCUGUACUUGAUUCUCUGAGUGUGUAGACACCUUUUAGUCAAUAAAGGCAAACUUGUUUUCA